UAAUAAGUGUUUUAUGGCACUUUUUAAAUCCAUAUCCACCUUGUGUGCAAUGUCAGUCGAUCUUCUUCACGGAGAUCGACCAAACAUCAACCUUUAUUUUUUAACUCUUUGUCUGAAAAAUAUUAUGAAUAGACAAUUCAAAAUA
rnacentral:misc_RNA from 1 species